ensembl:lncRNA
AGUGGAGGUUGAUGGAGGUCAGGAUUUAGGACAUUUCCAGCCCCCGCUGCACCACCUUGGAUACUCCAGUUCAUUCUCCACUCCCUCAAGCCCAGGGUCCCGCCAAGCUCCGCCUCCAUGGGGGACUGGACAAGACAGCCCACUUUGGACAUCUAACAGAGGCUCGCGGACAUGAAUGCCCACCCCUUCCUCUCCCUUGGGCCACUCCAAAUCCUACCUCAGUGUGGGCCCUAGAUAGAGGAUGAGUAGGGAGGGAGGUGCUAGGCUGGAGUGGCUUGGAUCCCUGAGGGCUGCAGAGGAUCAUGUAGGGGAACCAUGGAGCACAUAUUGUGCUCAAUGUCAUCCUCACAAAAGACCAGUACCCUUUCCCUGCCCCAUUCCACACACAUGUAUUGAAUGCCAGACCAGUAGCGGGGGAGUCUUGGUCCUGACCUCAGGAGCUUCUAGCUCAGAGCUCCCAAAAGUGUUAUCAAACUGAUCUCAGGUCCUCUCACCCAAUGCACUGCAAAGCCAGUCAACUGGUACCAGGUGUGGUGAAGGAAAGUGCAGCAUACCUUUGAACAGUGCCAAGCAAGAAGAGAAGGUAGCCAAAGUGCCAAAGAUGUCCGACCUCUGAUGGCUUCCAGGAAAGGGUUUUUCAAAGCAGCAUUAGGGGUGAGGGUCACAGGGUGUAUGACCAUGUCAUGGACAUUUUUCUGAUUGGUUGGUGGUGAGUUAACAGAGUGAUCAAUCUUCUGCCUCCAACCAGUUUAGGCUCUAUAUGUUUGAGGUCAGCAGUUUCCAUCUGGUAGGGUCCUGGUUUCUGCCAAAACAGCAUAAGAAUAUGUGUCAGAAGGCUCUCCAUAGAGGGGUAACCUCAAGGAGAAGCUAGGGGUUUUGUGACUCUUUUUUCUGGUGGACCUAUUAUUUAAUUUGCUAUUACUUUCCCGCUUGACUGCUUCAUUUUUGUCCCUGAUUUCCCACUUCUCCAAUCAUCAAUUGCUGAGUCUGCUCUCAGAUAAGGCCUAAGAGGCUAAAAGCUUUUUCUACAAGCAAGAAGUGGGGAACACAGAUGUCUGUCACUGGGAAGGCCCCACAGGGCCUGUUUCUGUUUCACAAGGGUGGAGAGCUCCCAAAUCUCUGCUACCAGAUUAAUUCAUUAAUUAUACCAGUCGAUAUUUAUUUCUUUUUAAAUUUUACUUAUCUUCAGCUGCACGGGAUCUUUGUUGCUGCACGCAGCCUUUCUUUAGCUGUGAAAAUGGAGCUACUCUCUAGUCUCUAGUCUAGCCAGCUUGUCAUUGCUUUGGCUUGUCUUGUUGAGGAGCACAGAUUCUAGGGCACCACAGGCUUCAGUAGCUGCAGAAACGCGGGCUCGAGAUCCCUCAGGCUUCAGUAGUUGAGGUGCACUGGGCUUGGUUGCUCUGCUGGCAUGUGGAAUCUUCCCAGACCAGGGAUCAAACCCGUGUCCCCUGCAUUGGCAAGCGGAUUCUUAACCACUGGUCCACCAGGGAAGUCCAACAUAUAUCGAUUGCUUGAGCUCCCUCUGUAUGCUACUGGGCAACGGGGAGACAAUGUUUUCUGAGCCCCAGCCUUAGCUUCUAAACAACUUGCUGCCUGGUUGGGAAACAGACAAGAAAACUGGUAUAAGAACAGAAGAUGCUGAAGGCCCAAGGGGUGUUCUCCCACCAGCCUUGGGCAUCAGGGCUUUCCCAGAGGAGGGGACAUUUCAGCUGAGAAGGGGAGAGAAAUCAGCCUAUACAGGAGAGAGGAAGAGGUGUUUCUGGCAAUGGGAACAGUGUGUGCAGAAGCCUGCACAAGAGGUGUGUCAGAGGAAUUAAAGACAUCUUACUGAGACACAGUUUGGAGGCAGAUGCUAGAGGAGAAGGGAAGAUUGGGAGCCAAUCACCGCGCAAGAAGAGCCUUGCAGGCCGAUCUUUCGAAAUCUGGAACCCCAAACUGCGCCGUGCCCGACAUCCAUACCCUUUCAAAAUCAAACGGUCACCAUGGUAUCCGCAUCUCCAAUUCCACUGAAGACUCUGCCGUGAAACACAAGGCUGAAGACAGCACAGGGGUCAAGAGUGCCGACCACAUGAGGGGGUCUGGUGAGGUUCAAACCCCAGCUGUGUCCCUCCUCAGCUCUUUGACUUCCCUGUGCCUCAGUUUCCCCAUCGCAUGGACCUGUAUCAAAACAGCCGCACCCAGUAGAGGCGAUGUUGGGAUUAAAGGAGUUAAAACACUCCCAACUCGAAGCAGACUCUCCACGUGCUAAAUGCGCAUCGGGUUAAUUAUUCUUGUAAUUUAUCAUUUUGCUUUGGAAAUCUAUUGGCCACAGGCAGCUCUCUAAAGUAGACAACUGCCGGCGAUCUGCUUGGGGUCUUCUCAGGGAGAGCAUUCCCAACCCAAGCCUCUUUCCAGAUGGAUGGAUUUUAACCACAAUAAAGUUGACAUCCUGUUCUUAAACAUAAUAAAACAUGGGUUCAUUUGGACUUGGCGUUCCCCUUUUGCAUUCUAGAGCCCAAGUGUUUAUGCAUCUGGGUCUCAAACAUUUUCAAAGGAUUCUCUGCAGUUCUUGGGUGCCUUGGGCACCGGGCCUCAUACAGACCUGCCUGACAGUGCCUUAAUGGUAGUCUUAGAGGCAUGGCUCCGGUCCAACUGUUACCUCUUACUGUCAGCAGUUUGGGCAAAUGUUUUGGCGUUUCUGAUCAGUUUCCCACCUGUCAAAGAUGACAUCACUGAAGCCCCUUUGUCGAGUGUUCUCAGCUCUCUCCCUUGGCUGGGCGGGAGUCCAUGGGGUCUUCAGCCAGUCUGGGGUGGGGAAGCAGGUCUCGGAAGGGUAGCAUGAAUGAGGGUGCACCUCUGAGUUGGGGCAUGCUGAGGGCCUUGACUGGGGCAGUGGUGGCAGCAGGGGCCUGGAGACUGGAAAAGGCAGAGGCUUUGGGUUCCUGCUGGUUCCUUCCCUGAGCUGGCCCGAGGGUGGAUGAGCCUCACAAACUCUUGAGAAUUUCACUUUGGACAUAAAAGCAUCUCGACUCCAAGAGUUACUCGUUUAUGCCUUGGUUUAAUGGUACCGAAGCAUAAAGGAGUAAUGGAAUGAUUGUGCACACCUGGGGAAUGGGAAUGAUUGUAUGCACCUGGAAAGAUGGCCACAAGAAAGGUAAGCAAGAAGAGCUCAGUAAUUGUUGAGAGGGAGCCCUUGCUUUAAAAAACAAACAAAAACUAUCAUUUUAGAGGAUUUGGGAAUGUAGGUGUUAAGGGCUGCAGCUGAAUUCCCUGGGUUUAAACCCCAACUCUGGCACUUCCUUGCUGUGUGAAUUUGGUUCAAGUUGCUUUUGAACUAUGGUGUUGGAGAAGACUCUUGAGAGUUCCUUGAGAGCAAGAAGAUCGAGUCAGUUAAUCCUAAAGGAAAUCAGUCCUGAAUAUUCAUUGGAAGGACUGAUGCUGAAGCUGAAGCUCCAAUACUUUGGCCACCUGAUGCAAAGAACUGACUCACUGGAAAAGACCCUGGUGCUGGGAAAGAUUGAAGGCAGGAGGAGAAGGCAAUGACAGAGGAUGAGAUGAUUGGAUGGUAUCACCGAUUCAGUGGACAUGAGUUUGAGCAAGCUCUGGGAGUUUGUGAUGGACGGGGAGGCCUGGUGUGCUGCAGUCCAUGGGAUUGAAAAGAGUUGGACACGAUUGAGUGACUGAACUUUCAUCAAGAGGCUCUUUAGUUUUUCUUUGCUUUCUGCCAUAAGGAUGAUGUCAUCUGUGUAGCUGAGGUUAUUGAUAUAAUAUUUGCUAUGCUAUCUGCUAGGAAUGCCCUUCCUCCAAUUCUACAGUGCUUAGGGAGACCUCUUCACUCUCCAGUUUCCUCUUUUCCAGGACACCUUUCCCAGCAUACCAAUCAGAGCCUCCUUCCCCCUUAGUCAUCUCCCAGCACUGACUGCAGAGAUCGGAUUCUGUGGCCCCACAUCCUUCUCCUGGACUCCAGGCAGGAUCCACCCCCUCCCCCAGCCUUGGACGUGGCGUGGACAUGGGUGUGGAUCCAGGCUGUAUUUUUUGAAUGAAUGAGUGAUUACAUGAACAUCUGUGUUGCAUAAACAGCCUAUUCCGAGAGUUGGUCCAAUCUUGUUUUAUAUUCCAGCCUUGUCUCCCCAAUAUCUCAGGAACUCAGUCUUCCUAUUUGUGAAAUGAGCACAGUAUUGCACCCACCUCUGGUUGCAGAGGAUUAAGGAAAAUAGGAUAUGUCAGGCACCCAGCAUGUUGCCAAGCACACAGUAGGCCUUCAGGAACCACGUGAGCUCUCUUGGUUUUUUUUUUUUUUUUCAGUGGCAUCCGACUCUGUGCGACCCCAUAGACGGCAGCCCACCAGGCUCCUCUGUCCAUGGGAUUUUCCAGGCAAGAGUACUGGAGUGGUGUGCUAUUGCCUUCUCCGUGAGCUCUCUUGUGCUCUCCAAUUAUGAGAAAUAAUUAUGAGAAACUUGGACUCAGGACUCAUGUCCUGCCUCAUCUAUUGCAGUACUCCCCCAUUCCCAACCUGCCCCAGGACAAGGCCAUUGAUAACAGAACUGUCAGAGGAAGAGGAGGAUUUGUUCCACAGGACAGUCCCAAGGGCUCUGAAUUCCAUGUCCCCCGCACAUAACAUUGCUUGCUACCCUGAUUACAGGGACUGGAGUCACAGAUAGACAAACAGCUGGACGGUGGAACCCUGAGUUUGAUGUCUUGAUUUUGGUCCUAGAAGCCAGGCAGCCCUUUACCCUCUGUCUGCACUCUGGCCCCAAGUGGCUACACCCCAUCUCAUGUUGAUGGCUCUCCCAUUUGCAUCACCAGCCCAACCUCUCCCCUGAACUUCAGACUCAAAUAUCCACCUGUACUGGGUCUUCUCACUGGGUACCUUGUAAGUAUCUCGCAUUCAGCCAGUCUGAAGCACAGGUCCCAGUUCCUCACCCUGAGAUCAACUUCUUCAUCAGCAUGGCAGGGGAAUGGCUGCACCAUCAUUCUGCUCCCCAGGUCCCCAAACCUCGACUCAUUCUCAUCACUUCUCUUCCUUCACCCCACAUGUCCAGUUCAUCCAGUUGUCCUGUAGGCUCAGACUUCAGAAUGAACCCAAACCUGCCCAGCACUCCUGUGGGUCCUGCCAGCUCCUUCCUGGAUCCUUCCCUGGCCUUCCACCACUUACAUUCCCGCCCUAAACAUCCCUGCUCCCCUGGGCAGCCUCAGAGAGAUCCUUAAAAUGAUAAAUCAGAGAUUCUUAAAAUGACGCUGAGCUCAGCACAGUGCAGUCACCCCUCCCCACCUCCAACCUGGGCAGUUGGGGCAUCAGAGAGAGGUCUGGCAUGGGGUUUGUG